CCCUGGAUUUCCCAUAGUCCUCAACCUCAUGUGGAGAGACUGUCCAGUCUGUUGGAUUCUGCUCUGCAGUUCAGGAUGCACCCUUUAAUAAUCCAUACCUGGGAAAAAUCCUCUCAGACCUCAGCUCGGACUGACUCAUCUCAGCCCACUCUGAGAGCGCGGAGAUGGCUUCAUCGUGAGGAGUGCUUAAGGAGAGUGGAGCAGCAGAAGAAGGAGAAGAAAGCGAAGGUGGUUUCUGGACACAGC